CUACUCUCAGGGUCAGACCUGGAGAGUUUCCAGUACUCUACCAGUCUCGGCUAUGGGAGGGAGAGUCAAGCAGAGGCCUGUCCAUUCCAUUCCUAGCUUGGGCAGGGGCUAGAGAGUGAAAGACAAUCUGCUGCAAGU
rnacentral:snoRNA from 1 species